GACGAACGCUGGCGGCGUGCUUAACACAUGCAAGUCGAACGGUGAAAGCGGAGCUUGCUCCGCUGGAUCAGUGGCGAACGGGUGAGUAACACGUGGGCAACCUGCCCCUCACUUCGGGAUAACUCCGGGAAACCGGGGCUAAUACCGGAUAUGACCUCCUUGGGCAUCCUUGGAGGUGGAAAGUUUUUCGGUGAGGGAUGGGCCCGCGGCCUAUCAGCUUGUUGGUGAGGUAGUGGCUCACCAAGGCGACGACGGGUAGCCGGCCUGAGAGGGCGACCGGCCACACGGGGACUGAGACACGGCCCAGAAUCCUACGGGAGGCAGCAGUGGGGAAUAUUGCGCAAUGGGCGAAAGCCUGACGCAGCAACGCCGCGUGCGGGAUGACGGCCUUCGGGUUGUAAACCGCUUUCAGCAGGGAAGAAGCCGCAAGGUGACGGUACCUGCAGAAGAAGCACCGGCUAACUACGUGCCAGCCGCCGCGGUAA
rnacentral:rRNA from 1 species